UAAAGGAAGCGAUUCCGGCUACGGAUGGUCAUGCGUCGCAUUAGCUUGUUGGCGGGGUAACGGCCCACCAAGGCGACGAUGCGUAGGGGUUCUGAGAGGAAGGUCCCCCACACUGGUACUGAGACACGGACCAGACUCCUACGGGAGGCAGCAGUGAGGAAUAUUGGUCAAUGGCCGCAGGGCUGAACCAGCCAAGUCGCGUGAGGGAUGACGGUCCUAUGGAUUGUAAACCUCUUUUGUCAGGGAGCAAAGGACGCCACGUGUGGCGUUUUGCGAGUACCUGAAGAAAAAGCAUCGGCUAACUCCGUGCCAGCAGCCGCGGUAAUACGGAGGAUGCGAGCGUUAUCCGGAUUUAUUGGGUUUAAAGGGUGCGCAGGCGGAAUGUCAAGUCAGCGGUAAAAUUUCGGGGCUCAACCCCGUCGUGCCGUUGAAACUGGCGUUCUUGAGUGAGCGAGAAGUAUGCGGAAUGCGUGGUGUAGCGGUGAAAUGCAUAGAUAUCACGCAGAACUCCGAUUGCGAAGGCAGCAUACCGGCGCUCAACUGACGCUCAUGCACGAAAGCGUGGGUAUCGAACAGGAUUAGAUACCCUGGUAGUCCACGCAGUAAACGAUGAAUACUAACUGUCCGGGCCGAUUGAGGUCUGG
rnacentral:rRNA from 1 species